GACGAACGCUGGCGGCGUGCCUAAUACAUGCAAGUCGAACGAACUCUGGUAUUGAUUGGUGCUUGCAUCAUGAUUUACAUUUGAGUGAGUGGCGAACUGGUGAGUAACACGUGGGAAACCUGCCCAGAAGCGGGGGAUAACACCUGGAAACAGAUGCUAAUACCGCAUAACAACUUGGACCGCAUGGUCCGAGUUUGAAAGAUGGCUUCGGCUAUCACUUUUGGAUGGUCCCGCGGCGUAUUAGCUAGAUGGUGGGGUAACGGCUCACCAUGGCAAUGAUACGUAGCCGACCUGAGAGGGUAAUCGGCCACAUUGGGACUGAGACACGGCCCAAACUCCUACGGGAGGCAGCAGUAGGGAAUCUUCCACAAUGGACGAAAGUCUGAUGGAGCAACGCCGCGUGAGUGAAGAAGGGUUUCGGCUCGUAAAACUCUGUUGUUAAAGAAGAACAUAUCUGAGAGUAACUGUUCAGGUAUUGACGGUAUUUAACCAGAAAGCCACGGCUAACUACGUGCCAGCAGCCGCGGUAAUACGUAGGUGGCAAGCGUUGUCCGGAUUUAUUGGGCGUAAAGCGAGCGCAGGCGGUUUUUUAAGUCUGAUGUGAAAGCCUUCGGCUCAACCGAAGAAGUGCAUCGGAAACUGGGAAACUUGAGUGCAGAAGAGGACAGUGGAACUCCAUGUGUAGCGGUGAAAUGCGUAGAUAUAUGGAAGAACACCAGUGGCGAAGGCGGCUGUCUGGUCUGUAACUGACGCUGAGGCUCGAAAGUAUGGGUAGCAAACAGGAUUAGAUACCCUGGUAGUCCAUACCGUAAACGAUGAAUGCUAAGUGUUGGAGGGUUUCCGCCCUUCAGUGCUGCAGCUAACGCAUUAAGCAUUCCGCCUGGGGAGUACGGCCGCAAGGCUGAAACUCAAAGGAACUGACGGGGGCCCGCACAAGCGGUGGAGCAUGUGGUUUAAUUCGAAGCUACGCGAAGAACCUUACCAGGUCUUGACAUACUAUGCAAAUCUAAGAGAUUAGACGUUCCCUUCGGGGACAUGGAUACAGGUGGUGCUUGGUUGUCGUCAGCUCGUGUCGUGAGAUGUUGGGUUAAGUCCCGCAACGAGCGCAACCCUUAUUAUCAGUUGCCAGCAUUAAGUUGGGCACUCUGGUGAGACUGCCGGUGACAAACCGGAGGAAGGUGGGGAUGACGUCAAAUCAUCAUGCCCCUUAUGACCUGGGCUACACACGUGCUACAAUGGAUGGUACAACGAGUUGCGAACUCGCGAGAGUAAGCUAAUCUCUUAAAGCCAUUCUCAGUUCGGAUUGUAGGCUGCAACUCGCCUACAUGAAGUCGGAAUCGCUAGUAAUCGCGGAUCAGCAUGCCGCGGUGAAUACGUUCCCGGGCCUUGUACACACCGCCCGUCACACCAUGAGAGUUUGUAACACCCAAAGUCGGUGGGGUAACCUUUUAGGAACCAGCCGCCUAAGGUGGGACAGAUGAUUAGGGUG
rnacentral:rRNA from 1 species